UUGCUUUACGGUCAUCAUUUCCACUGCGGCCCAAAGGUUUAAAGCGAAUGGUUCAGAUCCUUUUCAUCCCGAAUACAACUCAACUCUUCUCAAUUCCACAGCGAUCACUUCGAAAAAUUAUUUUCCCGCCAGCUGUUUAUAUUUACCUUCACUGUCGUGCUGGUAAUAAGACGGUCUCUGUUGUAUUAUUAAGCUAUUUCACCCUGGACUGAUUCAGAUUGACUUCAAUAUAUAACUUGCACUCUGCGUAGCAGAGCACAGCUGCUGAAUAAAGACAUCUAUGAACUGCUCGUGAUGUGUGGGGCUGGGUCAUCGGUGGCUCGGGUGAG